CCCCCCCCCCCCCCCGGGGCUCGGCCCACUCGCCGUGUGGUCGGCUUCGGUCGCCUCGGGCCUCCUCGCCCCCGCGGCCCCGGAGGACAACGAGGGAGGAGCGGCGGGGACGGGAACGGAGGAGGUACAAAGGGUGAGGCGGGGGAGAGGGGGGGGAGACGGAUCGAAAAGAGACGUGGAUGACGGGAGGAAUGAAAGAUGACACAUCACGUCACUCCACGUCUGUGUAGGUUUUAGUCCGAGUGUGUUUGCAUGCGUCACGCGCCCAGUGUGUGUGUCCUCUGCACCAGUGGUGUAAGUAUGCAUAUUUAUGCAUAACGUCCGAGCGAGUUGCGUGCGUACUUGUGUGCACUCCGGUGCACACGGCGUCCGUGCUUGUGUGCGGCAGAGAUGAGGAGGUGAAAGGAGGAAGGGCCGCCGCGUUGCUUAUAUGUCACCCGGCGCCGGAGGGGAAAUGACUCCCUCUCUGUCCCCGACCCCCGGGGGGAGGAAGAGGAGGACCGCCGCCGACUUCUCCUGCUCCACUGCUCUUUGCUCACUCUCUUCCUGGGAAAUGUUAGCUAGAGCUUUUCUCUCUCUCUCUGACCCCCCCCCCCACACACACACACACACACACUCGUUUGCUCACGGUAGUACGUCUCGCGUUAUCCCCUUUCCUCCUCUUGUGCUUCUCAUCCCGUUAAACCUCCUGUUCCCCUCCUCCGCUCUUCUCUACCUCGUGCUUCCUGGCGCACCGCUCGCACCUCCUCCUCCUCCUCCUCCUCCUGCCAUUUUUCAUCCCCCCUGCAGCUAGAUGUCAACUUGUGAUUCUCUAUUAACCCCUUGAACCCCACUAACCCGCACACACACUCUCCUGCGCCACUCCGAUCGUCCUCUCAGGAAAAUGGAAAAUAAAUCUAACAACAAUUCAAGGCUUCUGAUAUUUCCUUCCCUCCGUUCAAUUAAACAUGCGGCCUCCAUCUGCUUCUUUGUUUCACUUCAGCUUUUCUUCCGCAAUAUUGACUAUGGUUGUUCUUGUGAUUGUUUCUUAAGACUGUGUUUUACCCUGUUAUGACCAGAGAUGUUAACACUAGAGGAACGUGUCACGGGUGUGUGUCUGUUCCCGUGUACGCGUGGAAUAGGGUGGAUUCGCUCCGCUUCAAGGUUCUGUGCCAAAACCUUUUCAGAACAUUUAAUCUUUGUUCAUGUGCCAUAUUGAGAAAUUUAUGAAAUAAAAAAUAACGUUUUUUCAAAAAAUUCAAAGUGAAAAUUGGGUGCUUAUUUUUUUUUACUGUAAGUCUAUUAACUUAAAACAGUGUGCGCCAAAUCGCACAACAGCAGCCGUUGUGCCUGCAUGUGUGUGUGAAUUAAUAUGCAUGAAUUCUUGGUGUGUGCGUGCUUCUAAGAUCUAAGUUAUUUUCCCAGAUAUCCUCCCCUGCAGCAUCAGUUCAUUCCCCAGUGUGCUGCAGCAGUGUUGUGGUGUUGUAAUGCGUAUGUUUGUGUGUGUGUGUGUGUGUGUGUGUGUGGCAUUGUGUCAGUGUGUUAAAGCUGAUUUGACACAUAGGCUGUGCACCGGCUGGCUGCAGGCUGUGUAUUGUAACCCAAGCGGCUGACCUACGCCUGCGCCCCACGUCUGUCCGCAUGUGUGUGUGUGUGUGUCUUUGCGCUCACGUGGCUGCAGGUUUGCGCGUGUGUCCCCGUUUGUGCGUUGCUCGUGGUAUGCUGUGUGGCCUGCGGUGAACACUUAGCUUGUGCUGGCUGGGGGUUUACCAAGAGGUCAGCUUCUGGAUGCUACUGACUCAGGGUUACAAUUAUUGCCAUAUGUGCGUGUGUGUGUGUGUGUGUGUGCGCACCCUCACAGGCUAAACUCAGUGUUGAGACAACACACAACAUUAAAAGCGCCUGGAUUUAAAACUGUUCAAUAAUGUAAUCCGGAAUGAAAGAUAAUUAAUGACUCAGCAAGAGCUGCACACGUGUGUGCAGUACGACUUGAAUGCUGCGAGUCUCGGUUAAGAGAGGACUAACUGAAGACCGGACAACGGACGUGAAAGACGCUCAAAUCUCGGAUGGAUUUGGAUUUGAAUAUCAAAUAGCAGGUUUAACACAGUGGAAGGACUACAAGUACUUUCCCAUACAGCUUAACUGAAGCCUCUGGUUCUAGUUUUAAACACACGGUCUGAUACAUAAAUGUAGUAAAUGUGGCCCCGGGAUGCGUUACGUGCGAGCAGUCGUUUUGCUUCCUUUGACAAAUUUAUGAACACAACUGACAAAACAUCAAUGAAAUAAAUGAUUCAAAACUCUGUUUUUGGUCAAAGAAAAUCUUUAAUUAGCCCUGUAAAAUGUAAAAAUAUGCCGACUCCACGCAUUGUUUCCUCUCUGCUGUCACUCUGCGGGGCCACGCUGGUUGUCGGAGGCUCUCGCUCCCCACUUCUUCAGAGGAGACAAAUUAAAUAAAAAGAAAAAAGACUAAAUCGCUCUGGCGGAAUUGGUUGUCUCUUCCAGUUUAUCUUCAGGACUGUGAGGAAACUUUCAUGUGAGGCACACACACACGUCUCACUCUCCUUUGGACGUCGUCGGCGACAGCCUCCGUUUCUGUGGGCAUCGGAGGGUCGAUUCACAUUCCUGCCAACUAUUUCUUCCCAGCUGCAGCCGCUCCACAUUUCCCUUUACUGACACAAAACCGAACUAGACAGUUAGGCUUUAAAAUACGCUAUUUAACUAACAAGGUAUUUCAGUUCAUGGGGACUGAAGGGUUGCUGAAGCAAACAUGAGAGUGUGGACCGGUAGCUGGAGAGAGACGGCUGAGGUGUCCCUUGAGCAAGGCACUUAACUCCAGAAACGGCUCCCGGGGCAGUUGUGUACAGUAUCCGCAGUAGCUGUCCACUUAAAUGAAGUUGCUAGAUGUCACUUUGGCAUAACGGUACAACGUGUGACAGCAAAAGCAGAAUCAAAAUAAGUCACAUUUUACUUUUGGUUUCAACAGUCAUUUGGGUCAAAGCCUUUCUGCCCGCAAAAACACAUUUCUUAUAAAAUCUGCUGUAUAAACCAUUUUAUCCGUUUCUCGUCUCACAGUUUUUACUUGUAAACCAGGAUGUGUUUCUUCUUUUUUCCCCAAAGCUGAAAAUCUAGCACUAACUUUUCUCUUCAGAAAAUUCUGUAAUCAGAUUAUUUUAAUCCAGUUACACAUUAUGUAUUAGUCCUGCAGCCUCUGUGUGGGUGUGUGCAUGAGAAGCAGCAGCAAAAAGCAAAAAAAAAAAGAGAACGCAAACAAACACUGCCUUGUUUUGCAUGAUGUCCAUGCACAAUGCAUGUUAAAGCAAACAGGUUUGGAUCGCAUUAGCAUCAUAUAAUUUGCAUUAAAAAAAAAAGGUCUUGCAUGUUCUGCUCACGGCUGCGGGAAAUACAUGUGCUCUUUCUACAGGAGUCAUGUGUUGGAACAUCAAAACGCUGAUGCAACACCACUUCCAUUUGCGCGCAUGCUAUUUAUGCUCACGCUGAAUAGAUUAUGCAAAAACCACCUGACAAUUCUCACUUUCUCCUAACAGACAGCAGACUAGCGCAGCGAGCUCGUGUUCAAGAUGGGAACAGACUGCACGAAAUCCAGGACAAUUUGUAUGUGACAAAGCAGUGAGGCUGAGCCGGGCAGCUCAAUCAAACGGUUCUAUUUCUCCCUCAUCUCUAGUUAGGUCAGAAUAGAUGUGAUUGAAGGUGGGAGGAGCUGUCGGGGAGAAAUAUAAGCUCAUGGAAGGACAGAGAGAGGCGAUGUGGGGGAGGAGAGAGAGGAGGAGGAGGAGGAGGAAUAGAGUCCUAAUGAUGAGAGGGAAACAAGUUUCCGUUUCAUGCCCCCCUUCUCAUGAAAAGGCCAAUUCUUUCAGUUGGCUGAAAUCUAAAUGGUUUUCUCCCUCUGCCUUCCCCUUCUGGGCCUGUCGCAUGUCACUCCCCCCUCGCUGCCAUUUGUCUCUGGCUUUUCUGCUCUGGUGCUCAUGCCGCGUUGCCGUCGCGGUUACUCUGGGAGGCGGGCUUCGUCUGGAGGUCAAGGCUGGCAUUAGUCCUGGACGUGAAGGUCAGAGACAAAAAAGGGGAGCCUCUGUCUUCUUUAAUUCGGCUUUGCGUGACGAACGGUCCAUGUCAGCCCCUCCACAGCCCCCCACGCGCUCUUCUCCUCGCCACUCUCCUGUUCAGCAGUAAUACAGUUGUAAAGUGUAACCUUGGAGACAGGGGGCUAAUCAUCCAUCCCACAGCUACCCUUUCAAUCCGUCUCCAUCCACCUCACUGUCUCUUCACCUCUCCUCCUCGCUUUCGCCUCCCACCUCCUCUCCACCUUUACACCUCCUCUUCACUGCAACAGGCUAUUUAGGUAUUUCAUCGGGUUUACAGUAUUCUCCCAAUUAUCUGCCUAGCUCUUUACCUAUCCUCCCUCCUUCUCCCCCUCCUCUUCCCCUCUGUGUGUUUGUCCUGUGGAAGGACGUUUGUUUUCCUGUGGGGGUAGAGGGGAAUCGACAUCGAGAGAUGAGUUAUUGAUUAGAAAGCAGGUUGCAGGGGAGAGGUAAUGCGGCUCAGAGAGAGAGAGAGACAGAGAAGGGGUGAGAGAGAGAGGGAGAGAGAGUGAACAGGAUGACACGUACAGCCUGGGACAGAUCCUGCAUACUGUAGCAAGGCAGCAGCCCCACGCAUGCCUGCAUUGUAGCGCACGUGCAAGGCGUGCAAGGUGGUUUGGAGACGCCGUUCCACUCACACCUGAUUAAAGGUUAAAACCGAAUUGGAGAUACUUGACUAUCUGCGGAUUGGAAAUCAACAUCCCACCAAGGUCUUCAAAACACUUGCUGUUACUGCUUCACCUUUAAUCAUCUCCAAUACUUAAUUGUGUGUGACAUCAUCAGUGUGAGCUGACCAAAAUCCUCCGGUAAACGGACCAACUGGUGAUUGACACUAGUUGAUACUGAAUGAACACACACUUUUUUAGUGGACUAUGCUUCAAACUAUAAUGCUCUCGGUUCCUCUCUAGCUUUAGUUUUGGACGUGUCAAGGACGGCGUGUCAAUUUACGGUCGUUAGUGAACAGUCCCUCCUUAAAAUACACUUCCGACAUCGGCUUAUGUUUUAAAUUUACUCAUGCAAAUUGAAAGCUGGUGCCAAGAGGACUAAAAUUCAAGACUCGACACUCUGAAAGGAGAACAAAAGUCUUUCUUUCGGGCAGGGUGCGGUACACAGAUAGCGGUCCAAAAACGUUAGGCAAGGUCUUGGUAAAGGUAAACGAAGGUUGGUCGGAAAAACACAAAGAACGUAUUGCUGGAACGGUGAUUGAACCUGUGAGGACAAAGGGAAGCACUCAGACUAAAUACACAAUGAAAAGGGGGGGGGGAUAACAAGGGACAUGUGAAAACAAUCAGGCCGCUGCAGACAAUCCACAGGCGGGAAUCACACAAAGGCUGAGGAAAUCUGAAACAAGAGACACCCAAUGUGGCCCCACUUACUUCCUGUAGAACAUUUUAGAUUUGAAACGCCUUUGAUGCUCACAUUACACACUAAAAUACUCACGCUACAAGCUACAAUGCUAACGCUACAACGCUACAAAAUGCUCAAGCUACUAUGGCAACGUUACAAGCUAAAAUGCUCAAGCGACUAUGCAAACAUUACAAGCUGAAAUGCUCACGCUACAAGCUACAAUGCUAACGCUACAAGCUAAAAUGCUCAAGCUUCAAGCUAAAAUGGCAGCUUGUUGUUGGCAGUCUGUAGUUUCCUCUGUAGGGAACAUGGAAUGUGCUCAAAUUAUUUCUUCGUGUGAACCACAUUUCACCAACUAUAAUUAUAUGACUUUUGAAAAAUACAUUUAAUAUCAUCUCUCUUUCAAACAGAUUGAUUUGUUUGUGAAACAUGUUGUAACCUUGGUUACAAUUUAACAAGAUGACGGGUGAGAACGUGUUGCAUGAACGAGCAACUCUGUGAUUCAUCUAUAAGUUUAUUGGAUUUGUCAACUGGAUUUCAUAGCAGCUGAUUUACACACUAUUUCAUCCAAUCCCUUUUACAUAAAUACACUAAAGGUAAAUCCUUCUUUAUUUUAGAUCUGCAAUGCUUAAGACUUGAGAUGCAUUGAAUUGGCCCUUAGUUCAAACUGCCGGUGGUUAUUGUCAUAUACCACUUUCCAUCAUUUUCAGAUUCUUCUGACUCUUAGCUGCCAGAAAUGGAUCCUCUGUGUAAGUGUGGACUAGAAUCUUUAGACUCAGGGCAGCUUUGCAAGACGAUGGAUGUUGGUCAAGCUCAAAACGAUUCCUUAUUGGCAGCACACUGGGGAUAUUGUUUUCCACAUGACUAUUACACAUUUUAGCUGCACCAUUAAGCUCGCCGUAACAUGAAAAAGCUACACACUUUGGGCCACAUGUGGCUCACAUGCAAGUGCGGCACAUAUAACACCUGCAGAUUUGCAGUCAGACAGCGCAGUGAAUAUGUCAUCCCAGGAGAGGGCCAAAAAUCCAGUAAACAACACGAGAUGUAAUUUAUAACAAGGAUUUACCCAGGGACGCUAUUUCAUGCACAGUUAUCCAUGAAGAGAUGUCUUUUUUUUCUCCUAAGAGCAAGCAUAUGUUCUGUCAGACACCAGCGGCGGCAUCAACAUAACACCAGUUCACCAGCCAACAUAUGUGCGCUCAGCAGAAACAGGUCUUUAAAGAAGGUGCCAGAGUCGUCUCUGUGGUGCUGCACAGUGUUCACAGCACGCUGACUUGUGAUUUGACGCUCCAGUCUGGACCCCGCGAUGGGUCCACGCAUCCGUUUACAUAGAGCUCCUCCAAUCCUGACAUCCGACAGGACUCGGACGGAGGAGCAACCCAAAGGUAUCUCGUAAAAAUGAGCUCUGAUGUUCGGCAUUCCCGACUACAGAAGAACAACUUGGAGAGUAAAUGUACAAACAAGCACGAUACGAUUAUGAAUGCAUCACCAUCCAGCCGACAGGGAUGCAAUGCCUCACACAUACCUACCUGCUUUUACUCUUACUUACACCACCCUGCUAAUAAAAGUAAUAAACGUGCUGUGUGUGUAGGGGAAUUGGAUGGCUUGAUGGUACACGCAGAGGCGUGAUUGUGCACUUGUAGAACAUUUUAAGAUCCAUGUUCUGGGAAACCUCUGCACGUGCACACGGUCACUGCUGCCAUCAGUCCCUCCCAUCCCCGCGCUGCAGCUCUAAACGAUUAAAGUAGUUGCGGUAAUGACUGGAGGCAAAGGAGGCAAUGAACGAGGUGAAUUUCUCUCUCUCUCUCUCUCUCUCUCGCUCUCGCUCUCUCCCUCACUGAAGGUCUUAAAUCCAUCGAUUAGCCACAGAGGAGUACUGACAGGCAGCAGCCACUGCGGCCCUGCAGGGUUGCCUGUGUGUGUUUGCGUGUGUGCGCAUUGUCCCGCCAGUGUGAACAACAGAGAGGGAAACAGACAGCAGACACGGGGGCAAAGCCUGCAGUUGCGCACACCUAUAUGCGAGGGACCGCGAGAGCCUUAUUUACUCCACUACCUGGUUUAUUGAGUCAACCCCCUCAGUCAAGCUCUGAUGCAGCUGCCUGCCAGUCUGCCACCUCGGCUGCCCCCCCCCCCCCCCAGCUUCAGCAGCGUUCGUGGCUCCCUGUAGUUCAACACAGUCACAAAAGCACUUUUUUGUGCACAUGCAAGGGUUGUUCACCGUGCUACAGGCACGCCACCUCUACAGCCUGCACACACGGGACCCGUUUAAGGUCGGACCCGUGACUGCAGCAGUGGUGCCUAAUGAGACAACAUUAUUUAUAGUUCGGCGUGACAGAAGCGGCCUCGCCAUUAGACUGAUAAUGAGUCACUGAGAUAUUGAUGGACGCUUGCCCGUAUUGGUAUUCACCAAGGAACCAGUGCCACUUCUCCGGGUUGCCGUGGAUACCAAGGUUUCCUCCGAAAUGACCCGAUGAUAAUAAUAAUGACAACAAUGACUGCGCUACGUGGAAAUUGAGUUUUAAAACCACGAGGAGAAGGACGUAGCGCGAGAUGAGGAUGGAAAGAGAAUGAUGCAAAUUAAAAAAGAGGUAUAAAAGUGCAAAGGAGGAGGUGGUGGUGGUGUUGGGGGGGAUGUUGUGUCAGGAGUUUUGGUUGGGUGGAUGGAGGUGGGGGGUGGUGCACAAUCAAUGAUCAGUGGAAUAGCAUUAGCAUUGUUCACACAUCCCCAGCCCCGCUCCCCACACCACCCCCAGCUCCCCACCAACCCCUUCCUCUUGCGGCCUCUCUGUCUUUCUUGCUGCAGUGGCGUUGCCAUGGCUACCGAGAAAUGUGGGAAUACCUCUGUCCUUCAGAGAGAGAGAGAGAGAGAGAAGGAAGGAAGAGAUGGAAAGAGACAUCGAAGGGAAGGAAAUGAAGGAAGGAUGAAAAAAAGAGAAAUGAAGGAAGAUGCAGGGGCGCUUUGGGGUGCUCACUGGCCGCUGAGCCCACAUUAAAGGAGCAGCUAAAGUGUGAAACAUUGUGAUUUUAAACACCCGUGUACACACAUAAACAAAAUGUGCGUCAGAGUCGGCCACCCGCUAAUGCAUUCAGCUCCCUUUGCCGGUUCCGGUUCCAUGAAAGAGAGUUAGUGGAAAGUGUUUUGAGUGUGUUUGUGUGCGCUUAUGCACACACACACACACACACACACACACACACACACACACACACACACACUUGCUCACGCACAUGGUCUCUAACGCUCACACACACACACACCUACACCUGACUGUGGUAGCACACAUGUUAAUCAGUUGCCAGUCAGGCUCCUGUGUAUCCCCCCCUGGUCUCUGUGUUGUGAAGCCGCGGUUACUAUGACAACUAAUUUAGACUGAAAUAGUCUCAGUGCCUUUUGCUUUCCAUUGCGUGUUUACCCCCAUAUUCCUCCCUCUGACAACCCCUCGUUUUCGGCGACAAAGUGCAUUAGCAAGCUACCGAAGUGCCCCCCAAUUCUGCCGCUUCCCCCCGUUGUUCCCUUUUCCCGCAUCGCUCUCACCUCACUGCCAACCUGCUGCAAAGAUCCUCCUCCAAUUCAUUUUAUUGGCAGCUAGCAUUUCCAUGGAAACAUUUCAAAACCAUGGCAACUAUUUGAAUCGAGCCAGACACGUUCAAAACUGCUGCAUUCGUCCCCUUGCUCUACCUCUUUUCUCCUUCUGCCUCAUGCUACCUUCUCUUGAUCCUUUGUCUCCUCUUUGGAAUGGACAAGUAAUCUGUCGCAGUCAACCUGCAUGGAGAAUAAACUGUAUGUACUGUUUGUGUGAUAAAGUGGGCUCGUGCAUUGAUUGAGCUUCAAUGUUUGACCCUUUCCCACACACAUGUGGGUGUCCAUGCUGCAUCCUCUGCUUGUGCACGCUCUGCAGGAACCACGACAUGAUUAUGGCCAAGUGCCUGAUGCCUAGGCCCGCUCUCCUCCUCCACUAUUUACCUUGAGCUCGUCCUUCCAAGCGUUCCAGCAGCAUGCCUGUCAGUCAAACUUCUGACUCCUCCCCCGGGAUGCGACCCGAUGAUGUGAACCGGAGUAAGACGGAACUGACUGUCUGCCUGGGAGUCAAGUCACAGCAGGACGCUCCUGACUCGGGCUGGCGUUACUGCCGCUGCUUUGCUGUUGGACUCCCAACCAAGUUCCGAUUGUAAUGCUGCAGUUGGUCAUGUUAGUGCAAAUCAAGUGAGGCACAAUAGAUUUUUAAUACUUUGUUUUUGAGUCAAUAAAAAGUAUGAUAUGUUAUGCUCGCUCUGUUAAUUAACUAACAUUAUAUUAUUAUAAACAUGGGCAUCUAAUUGAUCAAAAAUAUUUCAUUUAAAGAAAGAAAGGAUGGAUGGAUUAUUGACCCAGAGGGGCCGAGGGUUUCGGGGUCAGUGUCCUACACAAUGUCAGUAAAGUAUUGAGCGGGAAGAGACUCACAAUGACAGCAGGUUGUUCGCAACACUGAGAACCAUAAAAACCAGCAUACUGAGAUGACACAAGGGCUGCAAAGAGAUACAAAUAGACACUCUCUGAAUAUGAAUAUAAUAUAUAUAAAUAGGAAGCAACCAAGGGAAACAUAAUUACGACAAACAGACAGUAAGCUAUACAUAAGAAAUAAAUAAUAAUAAAUGAUGCAGCCUGUAUGAGGAUUGCACCUGUGUAGGAGAGGUGGGGCGCAUGAUCUCACAAUCUGUCUGGUAAAUGCUGCUGUGAAUCAGCACGACGGUGUGCAUGUAGGUGGUUCCAAAUGAUGUUUGGAUGUCGGGUAUAGUCAUAUUUUGCACGAAGAGAGUGGACCAAUUAGGUAAACACGACAGUUCUGCACUUAUAGACAUUGUGCUGAUAUAUUCCUGGGUCGUUGAAACGGAUCAAAAAAUGUUCCAUUUAGAUCUGUGAAGGCGCCAAUAUGUAUGUAAAAAGCCAAAGGUGCAAGAAUUAUCAUGAGGACCAGAAUACGUAUUUCUGUGCUCAUUUAAAGUCACAUGAAGCGGAGACAUUUAGCUUGAAAAGGGCUUUCCCAUCUAGUCAAACAUAUUUAUUCCAUUAACCAACUCGGAUGACACAGGGAUGCAUAGUACAAGAUAUCCAAAAAGAUAACGAUUUAGCUCGACGUGCUGGAGGUUUAACAGUAAAAGUCCCAGCUGAGCUGGACUGCGUUACCACAGUGAGCUGGAUCCGACUUAUCAUCAAGAAGCUAUUGAAAGCUUUUUAUUAAAACAUAUCAAAGCAGUUCCUCUAAAACAGGCGGCUUUGAAUGUGCCGUUACUGACUGCGACAAGAGAGGUGAGGAGAACAUUCACACAGGAUUGCAACCAACAACACUGUGUGUGCCAAAAAGGGAAGCGGGGAUGAAAGUGCCAUAACUGUGAAAUUGAAUCUGUCGUAUUUUAGAUCCAUCUGUAAUAAUUGAUAUCUCACCACAGCUCUGAUGCGACAGGCUUUGAUUUUAUCUAAAAGAUCUAAUUGUAAAGCUGUGGUCAUACAAGUACAGGGAAACUAAUAACAUCACUCGCAACUUGCAGAUAAAAUCAUUUUCAUCCUUAAUGAUAAAGGAGCUUUGUGUCCAUCUCUUCAAUGUUGAGCCGCCCUCACUAUUCUGCUUGAAUCAUGAAAAUCUAAGAGUUGUGCUUAGCUCGUCUUCUUUCUCACCCCUUGCUUUUUUGUGUAGGUUUUUUUUUUCUCCGCUUGCAAUUUCUCCAACCAUGGAUUCCUUAAAAUAAAACAUUUCCAUUUUUUUCUUUAGCGGGUAAAGGGAAAUUAGCGUAAUUGUUUUAAUGAAAAGACCUCCGGGCAUUUUUUCUCCACCCUGUGAAAGCAGAUGAGUCCCUCUCACCUAAAGCGCUACGUCGUCCCCAAAAUCAAAGAAGCAGAAAACAAAAACCACGGUUACAGCAGAAAAAAAAAAAAUAGCGCGACAUUUCUUUUUUUUUAACCAAAACAAUACCCUAAAAUAAUAAUACUAUUACUAAACAUAAUGCAGAUGAAAGCACAGCCGUAUUCACAAGUCUAUUCCCAAAAAGACCUGCUCAGGAUUUGCUCAGUGGGGGGAAAAAAACAAUUACAGUGGCAUGAAAUGAAUAAAAGGUACAUUCAGUUAUCUGAGUCCUUUGAAGAUGGCUGAGGACGAGUAAGCAAAUCUAAUUCAACAGCAAGAGUUUUCCUUUCCAGAGGAGAAAAAAAGCACAGAAUGCAGAGAGGAGUUGGUACCAGUUUCUUCUUCUCUGGAGAGGGCGGGGG
ensembl:lncRNA